rnacentral:rRNA from 1 species
AGCGAACGCUGGCGGCAGGCCUAACACAUGCAAGUCGAACGAAGCCUUCGGGCUUAGUGGCGGACGGGUGAGUAACACGUGGGAACGUACCUUUUGGUUCGGAAUAACGCAGAGAAAUUCGCGCUAAUACCGAAUGAGCCCUUCGGGGGAAAGAUUUAUCGCCGAAAGAUCGGCCCGCGUUGGAUUAGGUAGUUGGUGUGGUAAAGGCGCACCAAGCCUACGAUCCAUAGCUGGUCUGAGAGGAUGAUCAGCCACACUGGGACUGAGACACGGCCCAGACUCCUACGGGAGGCAGCAGUGGGGAAUCUUGCGCAAUGGGCGAAAGCCUGACGCAGCCAUGCCGCGUGAAUGACGAAGGUCUUAGGAUUGUAAAAUUCUUUUACCAGGGACGAUAAUGACGGUACCUGGAGAAAAAGCCCCGGCUAACUUCGUGCCAGCCGCCGCGGUAAAAC